GCACUUGUUUCAGCAGUACAUGAGUUAAAACUGGAAUGGUACAGAGAUUAGUAUUAUCUCUAAGCAAGUAUGACACUCAAAUUUACAAAGCAUUCCUUUUUUUU
rnacentral:snRNA from 1 species